CGGGCUGUAGCUCAGCUUGGCUAGAGCGCUUGGUUCGGGACCAAGAGGUCGCAGGUUCAAAUCCUGUCAGCCCGA
rnacentral:tRNA from 1 species